rnacentral:rRNA from 1 species
UGAACGCUAGCGGCAGGCUUAAUACAUGCAAGUCGUGGGGCAGCAUGAGUAGCAAUACUUGAUGGCGACCGGCAAACGGGUGAGGAACACGUACACAACCUUCCUUCAAGCGGGGAAUAGCCCAGAGAAAUUUGGAUUAAUACCCCAUAAUAUAUUUGAUAAGGCAUCUUAUUAAUAUUAAAGCUUCGGCACUUGAUGAUGGGUGUGCGGCUGAUUAGAUAGUUGGCGGGGUAACGGCCCACCAAGUCUACGAUCAGUAGCUGAUGUGAGAGCAUGAUCAGCCACACGGGCACUGAGACACGGGCCCGACUCCUACGGGAGGCAGCAGUAAGGAAUAUUGGACAAUGGACGAAAGUCUGAUCCAGCCAUGCCGCGUGAAGGAUUAAGGUCCUCUGGAUUGUAAACUUCUUUUAUAUGGGACGAAAAAAGGGCAUUCUUGUUCACUUGACGGUACCAUUUGAAUAAGCACCGGCUAACUCCGUG